rnacentral:lncRNA from 1 species
CGGGCGUAGAACAGCGCCGUGGAGUGGGGAGCGCAGCUGUGGGUCCUCUACGCUGGUGUCGAGCGGCCCGUGUCGCGCAUGGGCCAAAAGCAGGAGAACGGUAGCCACGUCCUGGGCCUGCACGGCGGCCCACAGCUGGCGGCCCAGCGGCUCCUCCGAGGUGCUCAGCGGCGCCAGGAACAGUAGCUGCUCGUACUUGGCGCGAAUCCACGACUCGCGCUCCUCCCU